GGGCGCUAUCUGCAGUCGAGCGGAUGAUGAAGAAGCUUGCUUCUUCUGAUUUAGCGGCGGACGGGUGAGUAACACGUGGGCAACCUGCCCUGUAGAUUGGGAUAACUCCGGGAAACCGGGGCUAAUACCGAAUAAUCCAUUUCCUCACAUGGGGGAAUGUUAAAAGACGGCUUCUCGUUGUCCCUACGGGAGGGGCCCGCGGCGCAUUACUUAGUGGGGGAGGUACCGGUUCACCAAGGCGACAAUGCGUACCCAACCUGAAAGGGGGAUCGGCCACCCUGGGACUGAAACACGGCCCAAACCCCUACGGGAGGCAGCAGUAGGGAAUCUCCACAUGGACGAAGUCUGAUGGAGCACGCCGGUGAGUGAAGAAGGUUUCGAUCGUAAAACUCUGUUGUGAGGGAAGAACAAGUACGAGAGUAACUGCUCGUACCUUGACGGUACCUCAUUAGAAAGCACGCUAACUACGUGCCACAGCCGCGGUAAUACGUAGUGGCAGCGUGUCCGGAUUAUGGGCGUAAGCGCGCGCA
rnacentral:rRNA from 1 species